rnacentral:tRNA from 1 species
CGGAUACGGUAUCGCCAAGCGGUAAGGCACCGGUUUUUGAUACCGGCAUUCCCUGGUUCGAAUCCAGGUACCCCAGCCA